GUGAACGCUGGCGGUAGGCCUAACACAUGCAAGUCGAACGGCAGCACCGUAAGAGCUUGCUCUUACGGGUGGCGAGUGGCGGACGGGUGAGGAAUACAUCGGAAUCUACUUUUUCGUGGGGGAUAACGUAGGGAAACUUACGCUAAUACCGCAUACGACCUACGGGUGAAAGCAGGGGAUCUUCGGACCUUGCGCGAUUGAAUGAGCCGAUGUCGGAUUAGCUAGUUGGCGGGGUAAAGGCCCACCAAGGCGACGAUCCGUAGCUGGUCUGAGAGGAUGAUCAGCCACACUGGAACUGAGACACGGUCCAGACUCCUACGGGAGGCAGCAGUGGGGAAUAUUGGACAAUGGGCGCAAGCCUGAUCCAGCCAUACCGCGUGGGUGAAGAAGGCCUUCGGGUUGUAAAGCCCUUUUGUUUGGAAAGAAAAGCAGCAGGUUAAUACCCCGCUGUUCUGACGGUACCCAAAGAAUAAGCACCGGCUAACUUCGUG
rnacentral:rRNA from 1 species